rnacentral:rRNA from 1 species
CUAUACAUGACUCUGCGCAUAUCAAUAAGCGGAGGAAAAGAAACUAACUAGGAUUCCCUCAGUAACGGCGAGUGAAGCGGGAAGAGCUCAAAUUUGAAAUCUUCAAGGUUCUACCUUGACGAAUUGUAGUUUAUAGAAGUGUUUUCUGUUAGUAGAGUGGCAAAAGUUCUUUGGAAUAGGACAUCAUAGAGGGUGAGAAUCCCGUAUUUGGUCAUUCUUUCUAGCUUUGUGAUACACUUUCAACGAGUCGGAUUGUUUGGGAAUGCAGUCCAAAAUGGGUGGUAAAUUUCAUCUAAAGCUAAAUAUUGGCGAGAGACCGAUAGCGAACAAGUACCGUGAGGGAAAGAUGAAAAGAACUUUGAAAAGAGAGUUAAACAGUACGUGAAAUUGUCAAAAGGGAAGCGUUUGACACCAGUGUUGUUUUUCCGAAAAUCAAUUACGAAUGUUUUAUUUUUGAGAAGUUAUGACUUCAUCGGCUUGCUUCUUCUUUAUGAAACUUUCUUAAUGCACUUUUCGGUUAACAAGUCAACAUCAAUUUCUUUUGUUGUAAAAGGGUAUGAGGAAGGUGGCUUUCUUUUCGGAGAAAGUGUUUAUAGCCUUGUACCUCUGCAAUCGGAGAGAUUGAGGUCUGCAGCGUAGAUCCUUCGGGGUUAGAUAGCAUUUGUGCUAAGUUAUAGCUUUUCAUAGACAACUUGUUGACUAUGUUUAGUCUUGUAGCUUACUCGCUUAUGCUAUUUUACCUACGCUUAGGAUGUUGAUAGUCACAGCGUGUAC